rnacentral:rRNA from 1 species
UACGGAGGAUCCAAGCGUUAUCCGGAUUUAUUGGGUUUAAAGGGAGCGUAGGCGGCCAAUUAAGUCAGGGGUGAAAGACGGUGGCUCAACCAUCGCAGUGCCUUUGGUACUGAUUGGCUUGAAUGUAGUUGAGGUAGGCGGAAUGUGACAAGUAGCGGUGAAAUGCAUAUAUAUGUCACAGAACACCGAUUGCGAAGGCAGCUUACUAAGCUAUAAUUGACGCUUAGGCUCAAAAGCGUGGGGAUCAAACAGG